UACGAAGGGGGCUAGCGUUGUUCGGAGUUACUGGGCGUAAAGCGCACGUAGGCGGAUAUUUAAGUCAGGGGUGAAAUCCCAGAGCUCAACUCUGGAACUGCCUCUGAUACUGGGUAUCUUGAGUAUGGAAGAGGUAAGUGGAAUUGCGAGUGUAGAGGUGAAAUUCGUAGAUAUUCGCAGGAACACCAGUGGCGAAGGCGGCUUACUGGUCCAUAACUGACGCUGAGGUGGCGAAAGCGUGGGGAGCAAACGGGG
rnacentral:rRNA from 1 species